rnacentral:tRNA from 1 species
GGUUGGGUGGCAGAGCGGUCAAAUGCAACGGUCUGUAAAACCGUCGGGCUUCGCCCUACGUAGGUUCGAAUCCUACCCCAACCA